GAUUGCGNAUGGGCGAAGCCUGACGCAGCAACGCCGCGUGGGGGAUGAAGCUCUAUGGAGUGUAAACCUCUGUAGACAGGGAAGAACGGUAUGGAUUCGCAAGGGUUCAUAUAUGACGGUACCUGUAAAGUAAGCUCCGGCUAACUCCGUGCCAGCAGCCGCGGUAAUACGGGGGGAGCGAGCGUUGUCCGGAAUUACUGGGCGUAAAGGGCGUGUAGGCGGUUAUAUAAGUCAGAUGUGAAAGCCUGCGGCUUAACCGCAGAAAUGCAUUUGAGACUGUAUAACUUGAGUGCGGGAGAGGGUAGUGGAAUUCCCAGUGUAGCGGUGAAAUGCGUAGAGAUUGGGAAGAACACCAGUAGCGAAGGCGGCUACCUGGCUCGUAACUGACGCUAAUGCGCGAAAGCGUGGGGAGCAAACAGGAUUAGAUACCCUGGUAGUCCACGCUGUAAACGAUGGGCACUAGGUGUUGGUUGGCCUUAGGCUGAUCAGUGCCGCAGCAAACGCAAUAAGUGCCCCGCCUGGGGAGUACGAUCGCAAGGUUGAAACUCAAAGGAAUUGACGGA
rnacentral:rRNA from 1 species